rnacentral:rRNA from 1 species
CCUACGGGAGGCAGCAGUUAGGAAUCUUGCGCAAUGGACGAAAGUCUGACGCAGCGACGCCGCGUGCGGGAUGAAGGCCCUCGGGUUGUAAACCGCUUUCAGCAGGGACGGAAAUGACGGUACCUGCAGAAGAAGCCCCGGCCAACUACGUGCCAGCAGCCGCGGUAAU